CCCAAUUAGUCGGGGUGCUGCUUUGGGCGGCUGAGAGGAUACCCGUUGUACCUGAUCCGGUUAGCACCGGCGUAGGGAACUAUCAGGCAGAGGAA
rfam:Eikenella corrodens ATCC 23834 Scfld1 genomic scaffold, whole genome shotgun sequence.